GUCCCCGGGGCGUGGCCUACGGGCUGGCGCGCGGCCAGAUCGCACCAUCUGUCUGAAUGGAAGUGGAGCAGGUGUCGGGUUUGGGGCGCAGGAGAGAAAAAAGCAGGCCUUUCUCCUUGCCUUUUGAGGCCAGUGGGCAGUGAACCUACCCGAGCUUGACCAGAGACGGGCAGCCUCUUCAUGGAGUGGGACACGUGCAGAUGUCUUAAAAAGGAACACGCAUCUCUGAGUCUGUCAUCAAACUUUUUAUUUCAAGUCUGUACGACACGAGGAUUGUUGGAUUUCUGUCCUUUUGGUAUUUAUGGAGGACAGAAAAAAGAACUACUCUGAGUAAAUAAACAGAAGAUUAAAGGCCUUCCUCUGUGGGGGGCACCGUUCAUGAGGCAGCAAGCCAGGAGAGUUGUGAUGGGAUUUUGUGCUGCUGAUGCAGCGCUGAAUUGGAACUACAUUUCAUUUGAGUUGUUUCAGGAAGUUUGGGCUCCUCAGCUUCUGUGUCUUCGCAUCCGGGGGCUCUGAUCUGAGUCCAUGUGUAUGUGCUGGGAGUGUCCCUGCAGGUACACCGACAGGUCCCUGCAGACUCUGUGUGCCCGGCUCCCGUGGCUCCUCCUGGCUUGGUUGCUGCCUCUGGUCCCUGGUGGUUCUGCCUUGCUGGUCCACAGAGAGAUCAACACCCUUCAAACCAGCUGCCUCGUUGGCUGCCGCUCACUCAAUUGGCCUCGCGAUGCCUGCCGUUGCCAUGGAAACCAAAGUAGGCGGCAAGAGGUGGCAUGGGGUCAGGGAAAGAGGACAGGGUGGGGACCACGCUUUUGUGGAUUCUGCUGCCGCCAGCACUGAUCGGCAGCUUGUGACCUCGAGGAAGCCCCUCAGCCUCUCCCAGCUGCACUUUUCCUCAUCUGUAACAUGAUGAGCACAUUACACUUGUUCAAAUGAAAAUUAGUUUUGAGCUUUCUUUGUGCUGGGCACUGUGUUAGGAGACAGAGUCAUGUAGAGAUGUUCCUGCAGCACACGGUGAGCGAGGUGAGCACGGAAGGGGCACGGUGAUGGGGGAGGCUCUGGUGGGGCAGAGCUGGGAGAAGGAUGGCAGUGGAGAAGGCGAAUUUUGAAUUGGGUCUUAAAUGUGCGGUCCGAUUGGAAAUGGCUGUGACAGGGAAGGAGGAAGUGAGGAAGAGGAGGCUCAGGGCUGUCAGGAGGGAGAGGUGCUUGAAGAAGAGCUCAGACCUGGCAGCUGGAGUGCGAGGGCAAAGGCGGCGAUGGCAUGACAUUUGGGAGAUUCCUCUGAAGUUACAAUGAGAGACUGCCCUUACUGGGCUGGAGCAGAAGACAGCCGUCCUGGCAGGGGCGGAGGGUGGGGAGGGAAGGUAGCACGUGCUCUUGCCCGUCUUCCUGUCCUGGGUGCAGGUGACCACUUGGUUCCUAGGACCCUGAUACUCAAGACUCUGAGCCUCUUGAGACAAUCUGGGUGCCCUCACCCCCCUGGCCUCUGCAUUGGCCAAGAAAAGACCCCUUCUUCAGAUGAAAACCUUUGACUCCUGGGGCAUAUGGGGACCCCCACCACGCCACACAUAUGCAGACAAGCCCCAUGGGUGGCAGCAACAUUCUUUGGAAAGUUCCUGGGGCUAGGACAACACUGACCAGGAUGUCUUGGGUGGCCUUCAGGUUGGCCUCACCCUGCCCUGCCCCAGGCCCCACACCGUCCUGAUCCCUGUAACUCUAAGCACAUGGUAAUAAGGGAGCCAGAGAAACUGGGUCCACAUCCUGGCUCCAUCCUUGCCCCUGGAGGUGGGGCA